UAAUACCGCAUAACAUNYUCNAGAUCAAAGGAGCAAUUCGCUUGAGGAGGGGGUCGCGGCUGAUUAGYUAGUUGGCGGGGUAAYGGCCCACCAAGGCGAWGAUCGGUAUCCGGCCUGAGAGGGCGCACGGACACACCGGNAACUGAAACACNGGUCCACGACUCCUACGGGNAGGCACGCAGUGGGGAAUUUUGCGCAGAUGGGGGAAACCCNUGACGCANGCAANCGCCGCGUGGAGGAUGAAGUCCCCUUGGGNGCGUAAACUCC
rnacentral:rRNA from 1 species